rnacentral:rRNA from 1 species
AUUGAACGCUGGCGGCAGGCCUAACACAUGCAAGUCGAGCGGAUGACGGGAGCUUGCUCCUUGAUUCAGCGGCGGACGGGUGAGUAAUGCCUAGGAAUCUGCCUGGUAGUGGGGGACAACGUUUCGAAAGGAACGCUAAUACCGCAUACGUCCUACGGGAGAAAGCAGGGGACCUUCGGGCCUUGCGCUAUCAGAUGAGCCUAGGUCGGAUUAGCUAGUUGGUGAGGUGAUGGCUCACCAAGGCGACGAUCCGUAACUGGUCUGAGAGGAUGAGCAGUCACACUGGAACUGAGACACGGUCCAGACUCCUACGGGAGGCAGCAGUGGGGAAUAUUGGACAAUGGGCGAAAGCCUGAUCCAGCCAUGCCGCGUGUGUGAAGAAGGUCUUCGGAUUGUAAAGCACUUUAAGUUGGGAGGAAGGGCAGUAAGCGAAUACCUUGCUGUUUUGACGUUACCGACAGAAUAAGCACCGGCUAACUCUGUGCCAGCCGCCGCGGUAACAC